GCGGGUAUGGUUUAGUGGUAGAAUGGAUCCUUGCCAAGGAUCAGACUCGGGUUCGAUUCCCGAUACCCGCACAA
rnacentral:tRNA from 1 species